ACGGAGGGUCCAAGCGUUGUCCGGAAUCACUGGGUGUAAAGGGUGCGCAGGCGGGCAUGUAAGUCAGGGGUGAAAGCCACCGGCCUAACCGGUGAACUGCCCUUGAUACUGCAUGUCUUGAGUCCAAGAGAGGCUAUCGGAAUUCGUGGUGUAGCGGUGAAAUGCGUAAAUAUCACGAGGAACACCUGAUGCGUAGGCGGAUAGCUGGAUUGGUACUGACGCUCAGGCACGAAAGCGUGGGGAGCGAACAGG
rnacentral:rRNA from 1 species